rnacentral:rRNA from 1 species
GUCAAGUAACUAAGGGCGUACGGUGGAUGCCUCGGGCCAGGAGGCGAUGAAGGACGUGGCUUGCUGCGAUAAGCUUCGGGGAGGAGUAAGCAUCCUAUAAUCCGGAGAUUUCCGAAUGGGAAAACCCCAUGGGUGAUGAGCCCAUGUUUUAGCAACACGCGGAGAACUGAAACAUCUAAGUACCCGCAGGAAUAGAAAGCAAUAUGCGAUUCCGUUAGUAGCGGCGAGCGAAUGCGGAACAGCCUAAACCCUUGUCUACGUUACAGUCGGCAGACGCUGUAGCAGGGGGGUUGUAGGACCUACCGUCCCAAACUGCCGGGCGGGGGAGAAGUUAGCAAACAACAACUUAGCAGAAUGGAAUUUGGAAAAGCCAACCAUAGAGGGUGAAAGUCCCGUAAGCGAAAAGUUGUUGUCUUCUCUGGUAGGCACCUGAGUACCACGGAACACGUGAAAUUUUGUGGGAAUCUGCGAGGACCAUCUCGUAAGGCUAAAUACUACCUGGACACCGAUAGCGAACUAGUACCGCGAGGGAAAGGUGAAAAGAACCCCGGGAGGGGAG